rnacentral:tRNA from 1 species
AGCAGGGGACUGAAAAUCCCCGUGUCGCUGGUUCGAUUCCGGCUCGAGGCA